AUUGAACGCUGGCGGCAGGCCUAACACAUGCAAGUCGAACGAGUGGCGGACGGGUGAGCAAUGCCUGGGCCACUGCCUGAUGGAGGGGGACAACUACUGGCCACGGUAGCUCAUACCGUACACCUUAUCCUGUGCCCCGAUGGCAUUAGCUUGUUGGUGGGGUAACGGCACACCGAGGCGACGAUCCCUAGCUGGUCUGAGAGGAUGCACAGCCAAACUGGAACGGAGACACGGUCCAGACUCCUACGGGCGGCAGCAGUGGGGAAUAUUGCACAAUGGGCGCAAGCCUGAUACAGCCAUGCCGCGUGUAUGAAGAAGGCCUUCGGGUUGUAAAGUACUUUCAGCUGGGAGGCGUUACCAGCAGAAUAAGCACCGGCUAACUCCGUGCCAGCAGCCGCGGUAAUUC
rnacentral:rRNA from 1 species